rnacentral:rRNA from 1 species
GUCGCCUCCUAAAAGGUAACGGAGGCGCUCAAAGGUUCCCUCAGAAUGGUUGGAAAUCAUUCAUAGAGUGUAAAGGCAUAAGGGAGCUUGACUGCGAGACCUACAAGUCGAGCAGGGUCGAAAGACGGACUUAGUGAUCCGGUGGUUCCGCAUGGAAGGGCCAUCGCUCAACGGAUAAAAGCUACCCCGGGGAUAACAGGCUUAUCUCCCCCAAGAGUUCACAUCGACGGGGAGGUUUGGCACCUCGAUGUCGGCUCAUCGCAUCCUGGGGCUGUAGUCGGUCCCAAGGGUUGGGCUGUUCGCCCAUUAAAGCGGUACGCGAGCUGGGUUCAGAACGUCGUGAGACAGUUCGGUCCCUAUCCGUCGUGGGCGUAGGAAAUUUGAGAGGAGCUGUCCUUAGUACGAGAGGACCGGGAUGGACAUACCUCUGGUGUACCAGUUGUCGUGCCAACGGCAUAGCUGGGUAGCUAUGUGUGGACGGGAUAAGUGCUGAAAGCAUCUAAGCAUGAAGCCCCCCUCAAGAUGAGAUUUCCCAACUUCGGUUAUAAGAUCCCUCAAAGAUGAUGAGGUUAAUAGGUUCGAGGUGGAAGCAUGGUGACAUGUGG